rnacentral:misc_RNA from 1 species
AAUUACAUCCAAGUUUGACCUCUAUGUAUUGGCAGCAGGUGUUCGCAUGUGAUAAGCAUAGUAUUUAUGCAGAAAGAGUUUGGAACCUUUGAGAGGCAUGUAUUUUUGGUCAGUGCACUGUUACCAUUUCAGUAACAUGUGGAUUGGGUAGGCCAAGGUUGUCACAUCCUUAUAAGUUCAGCAACUCUUCUUGAUUGCCUGGUGCUGCAGUCGAGUUCAGUGUAGUGUGUGAUGCAUGGUUUGCAUUGCCUUCCUGUUCUUCCCGUGUCUUUGCAGGUUCCUUGUCUUUGGAGUCUCCCGAGCCGUACAGUUCACUCGUUACCGUACGAGACGGACUGCAUUUUUGCCAGCAGUGCCACUAUGCGACCAAUGUAAGGACAAACAUGAGAGGACACCUUCGCACACACACGGGCGUUCGUCCCUUCCAGUGCCACUUGUGUCCGGCUACAUUCACUCUGAACACCAACCUCAAGCGGCACUUGCGCGCCCACACAGGAGAGCGUCCCUUUUCCUGCAUCUACUGCGAUGCAUCUUUUGCAAAGAAUACAAGCCUCAAGCAGCACAUGUCCCGUAGUCAUGCUCAGAAAGUAUGCUAAAGGAUGUUCUCUCACCAAGCCCAAGGGGUGGCUCUUGACUUCAUUAAAGCAAAUGGGCCAGUCAUGAUCAGCUGGAUUCCAAGGAUAUUGUGGGACCCUCUGACUUUGGGCAUACGAAAGUGGAGGACAGCAGUUGAUCGAUCUGGAGGGAGCUACAGCACACACGAUGUCCAGGCCAACGUUGAAAAACUUCUGACGAACGAUAGCAUGGACUAGCAGUGCGGCCUGAGAGUGAAGUGACAGGCACUGGAGCAUGUGGUCGCAGAAGACAUAGGGUCAAGCUCGCGUAAAAUUAUCCGUGUCGCAUGUUCUGCGGUCAGCAGCGCCUGUGGUGCAGGUAUGUCUUCGCACGACCAUGCCGCUACUGUGUUCAAAGACUAAACAAACUAAUGAGCAAUACCUCGCAAUGUGUCGGCGCAUUGCUUCUCUCUGUCUUUACCAUAAAUUCUUUCACAGUUCUAACCUGAAUCAGCCACCUUAUAUCAAACCUGCAUUGCACAUAUCAGUCGGGACAAGCCACCAGCAGCAGGUUUAUUAAUGCAUGCUUGAACAUAAACAUUUUCAGUGUCAUUAUUUUUUCGUACGACGAUGGACUGGAACGACCCCCAUCUACCAUUGUCGACACAAUGU